CUUGUACUCCCUCCGUCCCAUAUUAAGUGACUCAAAUUUGUCCAAAUAUGGAUGUAUCUAUGCCCAAAAAAGUAUAGAUACAUGUAAUAGAAAGUCACUUAAUAUGAGACGGAGGAAGUAGUUU
rfam:Brachypodium distachyon strain Bd21 chromosome 3, whole genome shotgun sequence.